UGUAAGCUCACGUGGUACUGAAUACUUGGCAGUGGUGGGUUGGAUUGAGGAUAUUUCAAUCAGCAGGAAGCCGAGAUACAAGAGGUUUACGACAGAUUGUCGAAUGGUUCUCAGCUAAUAUCCGAGAGCUUUCGAAGGUUUAAUUCGAUGUAACAACUUGAACCAAAUCAGGGAUUCAAGCUAUUAAGCAGGUUUGAGAACCGAGCAAGUUGAUUUCGGGACUACUUUGGGCUGGUUCGAGCUUAGUACUAAGUACUUUUACCUAGAUUGAAGAGUAGUUUCGACUGUAUCUCAAUCUAGGGGACUUGAAGACUUCAGAUUUCCCGAGCUUAUUAAUUCGACAAGAGGCGCCUUACAUCGUUGACCUAGUGGUGU